rnacentral:rRNA from 1 species
AUGGAGCUCGCCGGGGUGGACGAGGUGGAGCUGGUGGACCGGGACGCCAGCCCGCGCGGCACCAAGCACUUCGUCCUCUGGAACUCCUCGUCAGCGUCGAAGUCGCCGGUGACGGAGGUGUCCCGGCUGCUGGCCGAGAUGGUGCAGCACGGGCUGCGGUGCAUCGCCUUUUGCAAGACGAGGAAGUUAUGCGAGCAGGUGCUGGCGGCGGCGCGCGAGGUUCUGGAGGAGGCCGUGCCGGCGGCGCCGGAGCUGGCGAGCUCCGUGUGCGUGUACCGCGGCGGCUACGUGGCGAGCGACCGUCGGCGGAUCGAGGCGGACCUCUUAAGCGGGCGGCUCCGCGGUGUGGCGGCCACGAACGCGCUGGAGCUGGGCAACGACGUCGGCCACGUCGACGCCACGCUCCACCUCGGCUUCCCCGGCAGCAUCGCCAGCCUCUGGCAGCAGGCCGGCAGGUCGGGCCGGCGAUCCAAGGACUCCAUCGCCGUCUACGUCGCCUUCGACGGCGUCGUGGACCAGUACUUCAUGAACUACCCCGACAAGCUCUUCGGCAAGCCGAUCGAGCGCUGCCACGUCGACGCGCAGAACCAGAAGGUCCUCCGGCAGCACCUCGCGUGCACCGCCGUGGAGAACCAGCUCCGGCCCGACCGCGACGAGCCCUACUUCGGCGCCACCAUGAACGACGCCAUCACAUUCUUGAAAGACAAAGGAAUCCUCACCAGCAAUCCAACCGGUGGUAACACGUGGAAGUACGCCGGCCCGGUCAGGCGGCCGUCGCAGUCGGUGAGCAUCCGCGCGAUCGAGCACGAAAAGUUCACGGUGACAGAGACGGCGAGCAAGCGGGAGGAGAUCGAGCAGAGCAAGGCCUUCUUCGAGGUGCACGAGGGCGCGGUGUACAUGCACCAGGGCGUGAGCUAG